rnacentral:rRNA from 1 species
UACGAAGGGGACUAGCGUUGUUCGGAAUCACUGGGCGUAAAGCGCACGUAGGCGGAUAUGUCAGUCAGGGGUGAAAUCCCGGGGCUCAACCUCGGAACUGCCUUUGAUACAGCAUAUCUUGAGUCCGAUAGAGGUGGGUGGAAUUCCUAGUGUAGAGGUGAAAUUCGUAGAUAUUCGGAGGAACACCAGUGGCGAAGGCGACUGCCUGGACGAACAUUGACGCUGAGGUGCGAAAGCGUGGGGAGCAAACAGG